rnacentral:lncRNA from 1 species
UAUUUUCUCAAAACAAGAUGCUAAUUUUGAUAAUGAAGAACAGAUUGGUGAGGGCUACGCUGUAUUCACCCUCGCCAUGACACUGGCAUGGUUGUACACAAGGCCGUUUCACUUGUGACACAGACUUUGUUCGGUUGGAUAUGAGAUCUGGACCAGGCGGCCAUUCUCUCCCCUUCUGACCUUGAUGCUGCACUGUCCAGUGGUUAUUCUGUUUCUCAUGGAAGAGCCCCUCUAUAAGUAAUACGGGCACCCCAACAAGUGCCUACACAUGGAGCCAGGAAAAGUGCCCAUGGGACCAGAGACACCCUGGGCUUCAUGGUUCUGGGCCAUUUGAGACAAAAGUAGAAGUUCUGUCCGGGAACCAACACUGACUGCCGUGGACCAGUCCUCGCCACUGAGGACUCUGGACUGCUGCUGCUGGGGACAGCUGUCCUCUGGGAAUAAUACGGCCAGCACUGUCUUCAUCAGAGACACAAGAUGAGUUCUGUGGAUGCCCCCUCGUGGAAUGAAGGCCACUGGUCCCUCUCCUGAAACUCCAGCCGUUUACUCUCUUCCCCACCAGCGCAGGUCAGCAAAUGCUCUCGUCCGGCCCCUUUCUGCCACGGCCAGGGCUUCAUCGUGGUGGCCUAGGAGACAGAGGGACAGGUGUGCUCACUCAGGGAGCAGCUGAGCAGCCAGUCAUCUGAUCUGGAGGAGACCCACGGCCUCUGUGUCAGCGCUGGCAGAAUUUCAGGGCUGUGCACACCUGUUCCUGCUGCCUGGAAGCUGAAGCCUGACAACAUGAAGCCACACAUGAGGGACACACUGCAGACGACAGACUUUAGGGUAAACACCAACAUGGAAAUGUUGUCAGAGCAAGGUCUGAGGAGACAAGACUGAGGCUGGGAGCCCAGGCCACAACUCUGGUGACUCCAGAGGCUUCACCCCCUGUUGUUCAGGCAGCCUUACAAAGAAGGGGUUUAUGUGAGUGCGUGCAAACACCCUCCCUUACGCUAUUAACUUAUUAACUGGAACAGCAGGGAUGAUUUCUGCACACACUGGAGAAUUAUCCCCAAAGUGCUGGGCAGACUUAACAGUGUGAUCAUAAUGGCAAUAAAUGACAUCCCAGGCAUGAUCCCAGCCCAUGCAUAACAGGAAACC